rnacentral:rRNA from 1 species
GAACCUGCGGAGGGAUCAUUACCCGAGUUUACAACUCCCAAACCCAAUGUGAACGUUACCAAACUGUUGCCUCGGCGGGGUCACGCCCCGGGUGCGUCGCAGCCCCGGAACCAGGCGCCCGCCGGAGGAACCAACCAAACUCUUUCUGUAGUCCCCUCGCGGACGUAUUUCUUACAGCUCUGAGCAAAAAUUCAAAAUGAAUCAAAACUUUCAACAACGGAUCUCUUGGUUCUGGCAUCGAUGAAGAACGCAGCGAAAUGCGAUAAGUAAUGUGAAUUGCAGAAUUCAGUGAAUCAUCGAAUCUUUGAACGCACAUUGCGCCCGCCAGUAUUCUGGCGGGCAUGCCUGUCCGAGCGUCAUUUCAACCCUCGAACCCCUCCGGGGGAUCGGCGUUGGGGAUCGGGACCCCUCACACGGGUGCCGGCCCCUAAAUACAGUGGCGGUCUCGCCGCAGCCUCUCCUGCGCAGUAGUUUGCACAACUCGCACCGGGAGCGCGGCGCGCCCACGUCCGUAAAACACCCAACUUUUCUGAAAUGUUGACCUCGGAUCAGGUAGGAAUACCCGCUGAACUUAAGCAUAUCAAUAGGG